rnacentral:rRNA from 1 species
UUGACCUCGAAUCAGGUGGGACU